rnacentral:rRNA from 1 species
UACGGGGGGGGUAAGCGUUGUUCGGAAUUACUGGGCGUAAAGGGCUCGUAGGCGGCCAACUAAGUCGGAUGUGAAAUCCCCAGGCUCAACCUGGGAACUGCAUCCGAUACUGGAUGGCUUGAAUCCGGGAGAGGGAUGCAGAAUUCCAGGUGUAGCGGUGAAAUGCGUAGAUAUCUGGAGGAACACCCGUAGCGAAGGCGGCACUCUGGGCCGGUACUGACGCUGAGGAGCGAAAGCGUGGGGAGCAAACAGG